rnacentral:lncRNA from 10 species
AUUUUAAGGAAUUGACAAACAAUUGUGGAGGUUGGCAAUUCCAAAAUCUGAGGAGUAGGUAAACUGGAAGACUAGAGACCCUGGGAAGAGUUGAUGUUACAGCUUGAAUCUGAAGGCAGUCUGCUGGAAGAAUCCCCUCUUUCUUGUAGAAGCUCUGUGGAAGUUUGAGUGACUCAUUGCAGAGAGGAAUUGAUGAAGUCAACAGCUGCUGGAAAAACUUCUUUUUCCUUAAUAGCUGUAUCAACAUGUGGUUGCUAUUAUUCAAAGUGGAUGAAAUAAUUCUGCAAGCCAGUGGGAACAGGAAGCUUCAUGAAGAGGAGAAAGGCUUAGGGCUCAGAAACCGCACAGAGCAGGAGGAUAGAUGAAUGUAAGGAACAGAGCUUUGAGGACAGACACCCCUGGAUUAGACAAUAGCUCCAAAACUUAUUAAUGAUGGUGAAUGGGUGACUUUCUAAAACCCUUUAAACCUUAUUUGUAAAAUGGGACCAUCAAUAUCUAUUUUGAAAUCUUGUAUAAAUUUGCAAUAAUGUCUGUAAAGUAUCUGACAGGAGCUCAGAAAUGACACAAUUCUUUAAAUCCACUCACACCCAACUUUUAAACAAAAAGUAGCAGUAUAUCCUACACACGAUUUUUAAAUUUUACUAUUUAAGUUAACAUCAUGCUAUGAACAUAUUUCCAUGUCAUUAAAUAUUCUAUUCCAUCCAAUAUUUAAAAGCUAAUAGAAGUCUGUUAAAUGCAUAUGCCAUAAUUUAUUUAACCAAUUCGGUUGUUUUAAUAUUUAUGUUGUUUCCAAUAUAUUAUGCUAUUGACAAUAAAAUGAUGAACAUUUAUGAUGA